GGAGAGGUGGCCGAGAGGCUGAAGGCGACGGUUUGCUAAACCGUUAUACGGCGAUUAAGUCGUAUAGCACCCCGAGCGCCGUGGAAGGCGGCGCCUCCCUGGGAUCGAGCGCGAUCAGCGCGGCCGCGGGGCGCACCGAAUGCGUCUGCCA
rnacentral:tRNA from 1 species